GUUUUUUUGGAAAUAAUUUAAAGUUUAAUUUGCCCCCUGAAAUAAAUUUAAAGGGCUGCAGUAUACUGACUGUACAAAGGUAGCAUAAUCAUUAGUCUUUUAAUUGAGGACUUGUAUGAAUGAUUGGAUGAAAUAUAAGCUGUCUCUUUUAAAAAAAUAAAAUUUAAUUUUUUAGUAAAAAAGCUAAAAUAAUUUUAAAAGACGAGAAGACCCUGUAGAGUUUAAUAUUUAAAGAAAUUUUAUUAUUAUAUUAAAUUUGAUUUUAAAAUUAUAAUAAAUAUUUUAUUGGGGUGAUAGAAAAAUUAGGAAAACUUUUUUUAAAUAAUAAACAUUAAUAAAUGAUAUUAUGAUCCAUAAUUUAUGAUUAAAAGAAAAAAUUACCUUAGGGAUAACAGCGUAAUUUUUUUUUUUAGUUCAUAUAAAAAAAAGAGUUUGCGACCUCGAUGUUGGAUUAAGAUAAAAUUUAAAUGCAAAAGUUAAAAAUUUUGAUCUGUUCGAUCAUUAAAAUCUU
rnacentral:rRNA from 1 species